rnacentral:rRNA from 1 species
CCUACGGGGGGCUGCAGUGGGGAAUAUUGGACAAUGGGGGCAACCCUGAUCCAGCCAUGCCGCGUGUGUGAAGAAGGCCCUCGGGUUGUAAAGCACUUUCAGUGAGGAAGAACGCCUGGUGGUUAAUACCCAUCAGGAAAGACAUCACUCACAGAAGAAGCACCGGCUAACUCCGUGCCAGCAGCCGCGGUAAUACGGAGGGUGCGUGCGUUAAUCGGAAUUACUGGGCGUAAAGCGCGCGUAGGUGGCUUGAUAAGCCGGUUGUGAAAGCCCCGGGCUCAACCUGGGAACGGCAUCCGGAACUGUCAAGCUAGAGUGCAGGAGAGGAAGGUAGAAUUCCCGGUGUAGCGGUGAAAUGCGUAGAGAUCGGGAGGAAUACCAGUGGCGAAGGCGGCCUUCUGGACUGACACUGACACUGAGGUGCGAAAGCGUGGGUAGCAAACAGGAUUAGAUACCCUUGUAGUC